CAGUAGCCGCGGUAAUACGUAGGGUGCGAGCGUUAAUCGGAUUUACUGGGCGUAAAGCGUGCGUAGGCGGCUUUUUAAGUCGGAUGUGAAAUCCCUGAGCUUAACUUAGGAAUUGCAUUCGAUACUGGGAAGCUAGAGUAUGGGAGAGGAUGGUAGAAUUCCAGGUGUAGCGGUGAAAUGCGUAGAGAUCUGGAGGAAUACCGAUGGCGAAGGCAGCCAUCUGGCCUAAUACUGACGCUGAGGUACGAAAGCAUGGGGAGCAAACAGGAUUAGAUACCCUUGUAGUCCCUGUCUCUUAUAC
rnacentral:rRNA from 1 species